rnacentral:rRNA from 1 species
GAAACGACUGCUAAGACUGGAUAGGAAACAAAAAGGCAUCUUUUUGUUUUUAAAAGACCUUCUUACGAAGGUAUGCUUAAAGAGGGGCUUGCGCCACAUUAGUUAGUUGGUAGGGUAAAAGCCUACCAAGACGAUGAUGUGUAGCUGGACUGAGAGGUUGAACAGCCACAUUGGGACUGAGACACGGCCCAAACUCCUACGGGAGGCAGCAGUAGGGAAUUUUCGGCAAUGGAGGAAACUCUGACCGAGCAACGCCGCGUGAACGAUGAAGUAUUUCGGUAUGUAAAGUUCUUUUAUUGAAGAAGAAAAAGUAGUGGAAAAACUAUAUUGACGUUAUUCAAUGAAUAAGCCCCGGCUAACUAUGUGCCAGCAGCCGCGGUAAGACAUAGGGGGCGAGCGUUAUCCGGAAUUAUUGGGCGUAAAGGGUGCGUAGGCUGUUAGAUAAGUCUAUAAUUUAAUUUCAGUGCUUAACGCUGUCUUGUUAUAGAAACUGUCUUGACUAGAGUGAGAUAGAGGCAAGCGGAAUUCCAUGUGUAGCGGUAAAAUGUGUAAAUAUAUGGAGGAACACCAGAAGCGUAGGCGGCUUGCUGGGUCUUUACUGACGCUGAGGCACGAAAGCGUGGGUAGCAAACAGGAUUAGAUACCCUGGUAGUCCACGCCGUAAACGAUGAGUACUAAGUGUCGGGGUAAAACUCGGUACUGAAGUUAACACAUUAAGUACUCCGCCUGAGUAGUACGUACGCAAGUAUGAAACUUAAAGGAAUUGACGGGACUCCGCACAAGCGGUGGAUCAUGUUGUUUAAUUCGAAGAUACACGAAAAAUCUUACCAGGUCUUGACAUACUCUGCAAAGCUAUAGAAAUAUAGUGGAGGUUAUCAGGGAUACAGGUGGUGCAUGGUUGUCGUCAGUUCGUGUCGUGAGAUGUUAGGUUAAGUCCUAAAGCGAGCGCGACCCUUGUCGUCAAUUGCCAGCACGUAAUGGUGGGGACUUUAGCGAGACUGCCAAUUAAACAUUGGAGGAAGGUGAGGAUUACGUCAAAUCAUCAUGCCCCUUAUGAUCUGGGCUACAAACGUGAUACAAUGGCUGUGGCAAAGAGUAGCUGAAACGCGAGUUUUUAGCCAAUCUCAAAAAAGCAGUCUCAGUUCGGAUUGAAGUCUGUAACUCGACUUCAUGAAGUUGGAAUCGCUAGUAAUCGCGAAUCAGCAUGUCGCGGUGAAUACGUUCUCGGGUUUGUACACACCGCCCGUCA